rnacentral:rRNA from 1 species
GACGUAGACGCUAUUCCCUAAGAUUAACCCAUGCAUGUUUUUGAAGAUUAUUAUCUGAAAAAUGGACUGCUCAGUAAUACUCACUUUAUUUUAUGUGCACCGCAGAUAACUACGUUAAAGUGUAGAUAACAUGUGUACAGUAAGAGUGAGACCUAUCAGCUAGUUGUUAAGGUAAUGGCUUAA